ACCCUGCAUUUCCCACAGCUAAUUAACCUUGCCUGAACACUGUGGGCAAUGAGGCACGGCCAAUUUAUUCAACCUGCACACCUUUGGACAUUCCGCCCUUUUUAUUUUUGUUUCUCAUUUCUUCCAGGAUAUGGGUGGAGUGGAGAGUGUGAAAAUUGAGCCAUAAUGGGACCUAGCUGAAUGAACUUCUCAAUCUUCUCCAGUCUCUCACUGCUUCCAGAAUUGUGUGUGAUUAUUAACAAAGAGGAUUCUAUAGAAAUAUGAAGAAUUCCUGGCAGAAGCAGCUUCCUUCAACGGAAGUCAGCUAAUAUCGCUUCAGCGUCUUGGCAUAACAAACAUAAGAGUAAUAUUCCAAUAUGAAUAUUUAACCAGCUACUCAAAUCAUUACAAUGAGGCUGGGCUUGAAUCUACCAAUGUCAAGAUUAGAGUGAUGCUGGAAAAGCACAGCAGGCCAUGCAGCAUCCGAGGAACAGGAAAACUGAUGUUUCGUGCAGAAGCCCUUCAUUGGGAAAGGCUACAAAUGACUGUUCAGGUGUCAGUUCCAAACAGCACUGUUAUUAUAUGGGCGGUGCCAUCUUUGGUCCUGGCAGCUGUUGUUCCAUAGCUUUGCAGUGGCUAAGUUAAAAAAAUCACACAACACCAGGUUAUAGCCCAACAGGUUUAAU